CUGGGGCAACGUGAAGUCCCUGAAGCUGUAGAAGGAGAUGUCACCAUGAUCCACCAGGGCAAAGAUCAGAGGGACAUCCCCACUCUGGUACUGCAGAGACGGCACUGCUUGGAAACUUACCGGGCACCUCCAUCAGGAAGGUGUGUUGUCUGCAGCACAGAGAUAUGCUGAAGGACCACGGCUACAAGGACACAGAAAACAAGGUACUGGGGAGGGGAGUCACAUUUCUCAGUCUGCCAUCUAGUUUAGGACGGCCAGAUUUAGCAACUUUUUUUUUUAAACGGAGUCUCACUCUGUCAC
rnacentral:lncRNA from 1 species